rnacentral:snRNA from 1 species
GUACUUGUUUUGGCAGUACAUAUACUAAAAUUGGAACGAUACAGAGAAGAUUAGCAUGGCCCCUG